AGCCACCCUGGCUCUGUUCCUGUGCACAGAAUGCCCAGCUCUGCCUGGUGCUGGCCCAUCUUGUCCAGUGCUGCAGAGCUGUGCACAGGGCUGAGAGCUGGGCUCCUGGCUGCUGGUUGUGUCCUGCAACACCUCUCUAAGGAAGGCUGUACGUUCAUAAAUCACGGGAAAGGAGUAGCAUGUGGAAUAGAGAGAGCAGUCACAGAAAUAAUGUUUGUAGCAUGGUGGGGAGCAUAAAUCAUGGAACCCCACUGAGUCAGGGGCUAAGAUUUCCCUCAUUUCCAUAGCUUGCAGAAACCCGGAGCAAUAAACAAAGUGGAUUAAUAUCAGGAAACCUUGUUCACAGUUUUUACAAAGUGACCUCACAAAGUCAAGGAAAGUUUACGAAGCAUUUCUCGCAAUGGGGUGAAGCAGAGCAGCAGAGUGCCAUGGAGAAGGCAGGCAGCUAAUUCCAUCCCCACAUUUCAGGAAAUGCAGCUUCCUGGAGGCAGUGCAUUUUGUAGAAGCUGUGUCAUUUAUGAAUGGGUUUUUUUAUGCUGGACCUUGCACUCUAGGACUCACGGCACCAGGGAAUACUGGAAACCACAAAGUUGGAACAAAUCAGCCUCUGUGGCUCCUGAGCUGCCUGCAGGAAGCAGCCAUCCUCUCACUCCUCAAGGUUGCAGGAAAGUGGCCUGUGGCUGUGAGUUUGCUUCAUGCAAAGGCUGCUCUGUUGUUCCUUGGCAGAGCUGAUGUUGUUGCUUGGUUGAGAAUGGAGUCCUGAAUCUUUCUGUAAAGCACUGACUGUGCUAGUAGCUGCCAUGUUGCAUAGCAGGAUAGGAGGCCAGGGUUUGCAGCAGGGCUGGGAGCAGAGCUCAGAGCAACACAGUGCAACAACAGUGCAGCCCGGGGCUGGCAUGUGGAGUGGUUCUGCAGAGGAAGAAAGCAGACUUAGGAAAAAAUCAUUGUGGUGUCUUAGCAGCCUUGAAAGUGUAUGGAAAUAGCUGGACCCAGUGCCCUGGGUCAGUAAAAUGUAUUAAUCAGAAGGAAAUGCAGGCAGGCAUUCGUUUAAAGAAGUGGUUGUGCUGGGAGAUAUUCUUCACUUUAAAUUCUUGUUUUGGCUCCUGGUGUUUUAUAGUUCCCUUUACAGCCUGCAGUGUGCUGCAGAAAGCACUGCCUGCCCUUAAUGCAAAAGAAAAAGUGUAAGAAUGGAAUCAGGGAAACUUCCUGUCUCGAACAAAAGCUGCAUAUCUUUAUCUUCAGUUGCUUAAAAACUUAUUUACAGAAUGAAAAGUUGAUGUUAGUUUGUGUCUUCAAUUGCUGCUGUUAUUUGAGUUUAUUCUGCUAAUGAAAGGAUAAACUAUAUGCAACCGCAGUGCCGUGAAGUAAUGGAACCAAACAUACUUAGCACUUAUGUGGCUUUUUUCAUCCUCAAAGCACAGUACAAAAUUAAUUUUGAUAGGAUAAUAAAAAGGAUGCUGUAAAAGAUUAAUGCUGAAGAGGUUUUAACACCGGAAAUACAAUUUGUGUGAUGGAAAACAUGGGCAUCUGGCAUUGCACUGUGAACUGUUCCCAGAUAAUGAAAAGAAACCGCUUCCGAGCAAGUGUGGCCAGAUCCAGCAGGGUGUUUUUGCUCCUCUCUAUCUCAAGAGACACCUCCUAUCUUCUGACAGGAGCGAGCCACAGAUCUUCCAAAGCUGCAGUUUUCCAUCUGGAACCUUGAAUUGCUGCUGAGUUCAGGUCAGUGCCAGGAUGUGGCUGUGCUGCUUGCCAGUAAGCCAAGGGAUGAUGGCUGGGGAGCCUACAGAAGUAACACUUAUUUCUGUAACAUGUGGCAGGAUCUCACUGUAGCCAUUCAGCUAAACCCAGUCCAAUUCCAUCAGUUCUUCACUAGCAAAAGCAAGCACAUGUGGUUAGAAGUUAACUUCUAAUACACAGACCAUACCUGGUGGUGAUUUGCUUUACACUGACUUAGUCGUACAGUCUUUCACAAUGUGCUUCACGUGGAAAAGUUAGGAAAAUACUAAUUAGAGGUGCUUGGCAGAGAGGAGCUUGGGGUGAGCAACGUGCUGCAAUGGAGUGAGCAAUGCAUGCUGUGAUGGGUGCUGGGAAAAUGAUGCCGUUAUCAGAUUUUGUAAGCCAUGGGUUGUGUUGCAUGCAUUGUAUUUGUUCUUUGCCUUCAUACUGAAGGUCCUCACUGUACCUCCCUCUAUGUAUGUGGCAGGCUUUGUACUGUUGCCUUGUCACACCACGUGCUUUGCUCCUUGCACUACAGGCCACAAUAAGUGACAGGUUGAAAUUCAGCCUUGAUCUAUAUGCAGGGCAGCUUUUAAACAGAGCAAAUGCUGAGCAACAGAAGUUGUUCAUCUGGUCCUUGUGCAGCAUUUGGUCUGCUUGUGAAAUAGCAGGGAUUGUGAACAGACAGACAUGUUGAUCAGAUGUCUACUCUGUGUUCUCUGCCAUGCACUCAAUAGAAUUCAGAACCGAAUGGAUGUGUUGAUGCAGGAGGUGUUCUGGGCAUGAAGCCUGUCUGAUGGCACAAGGAAGUGGCACCAGCUCAGGUUUGAGCAUUCACUCCAAGCUGCAGCACAGCCUCAGUCCUGACAAAGAUACGGAUUGGCAGCAGUGACAGUUUGGAAUCCAAGCGGCGCACUGAGCAGAAGGCACAGCUGCAUACAGCAGACUCAGGACAUUUCACUUUCCAUUUCUUGCUGGCUGCAGCCCUGCAGGGCGUGGUAGGCUGUGUGCUGCUGCUGAGCAUUCAGAGGAGCUCACCAACAGGAGUGUCAGUGCCUGAUUACAGUGCAUGCAAAGAAACCAUCUGCAAUCUGAGGCCAGCAGCGUGUGUGAAAGAUGGCUCGAUAUGCCCUUCUGCUUGAAGCUGGCUGAGGACACCUGGACAGAUGAGAGCAAGCGGAGCAUGGAGCAUGCUGGCCCUUUUCCACCUGGGAGCAGUUACUUAUGGUAAAUCUGGGAAAUGUGGUUUUUUAUGGCAAAGGUAAGAGUAGAACAUGUGUUCAAAGCCAAGGUCCACACUUCCUGUCCCUUACCCUGUCCCCUUCUGCUGCUUCCUGAGAUACAGCUUUCCUAGCAGCUCACCCCAUCCCCAUCAUUUCAGGGCCAAACUGGAGGCUUUGGGCCGGAGGAAGCAUGGAGACCCAAAUCAAAAAUUAGGUGGCCCCUCUCUCAGCAUCAUGGCAUUGUCCUGAUGGGAUGGGAUGGCUCAGUUUUGGUGGGUGUCAAGCACUUGUGUUCAGCAGCAGCCACAGCCACUUCUCCUUCAGUGAACAAAAACUGCAGCAGUAAACAGCAGAGAAAGUGUGGAACAGUGUGGGGUGGUCUGGCUGGGAGUCAUGGGGUGAUGACAUUUAGCAGAGGAAAGUUUCAGCACAGCACAGAGGAAAAUGUCCUGAGGCUGUGCUGGCCCUCAGGGGGAUGGGAAGAGCCCCUUGGCCUGAGUCAUGGGGGUGGGCAGGAAAGAGCCAUGGAAAAUGGGCAGUCAGGAGCAGCCCUGCUGGCAGCAGCCUGUGACCUACAUGGGAUUUUCCAACUCCCAAUUUAUGUGAAGUGGAAAGUGAUUUAUUUUGCUUAACACUGCUUUCCUAUAAUGAGUAGUACCUAGAGGGGGAGGUGCAGAGCUUGGGGUAAGGAGUGCCUUCAGGAAUCUACCUACUGCUGCAGGAGCAGCACUUCUCCAUUGGUGCUGGUUUGGGCUGGGGGUCACAUCUCUGUCCUGUCCACAUGUCCCUUCAGUGGCACUGCUUGCACAUCCCUGAGAAACAAAACUACCCCAGUCGCACAGGGGUGCCCUCUCUUACCUCAAAAGUUGUUUCUUUUUCUCCAUAUCCAGGUCAGCUGAGAGUCACUGAGUCAGCAGCACAAUGUGGAGAUGAAACAUACCACAAGAAGGUGGAAAGUCCUGCAAAUCUGCCAGAACUGCACGUGAUGGAGGAUAAGGGUGCACAGAGUGGUGCGUGGGAGGGUGGGCUGCCUCUCCUCACAGGAAUCUGAGGCUGAUGCUGCUUUCUGAGCGCUGCCUGUUGUGAAUCAUUGGCUUUGAUGGGAAUCCAUUUAGGCAUCCAUUUCUGCAGCUGUUUCCUGUGUAUGUGGAGCAUUGUGUGAGCUGUAAGAGUGUUUCAAGUUACCAGGACAGGGUGGUCACUUUAAUCAUCAUGAAGAUCUGAACAAAGAACCACAUGUGCAUUUUGGGAACAGUACCCCAAAACAGGAACACCAGCGAUCCCCAGAAGCGUGCAGAAAGAGAUCAGAUGGGGGGGAUGAUUUAUGGCCACUGUGGGUGUAACCAAGUAGCAGCAUUGCCUCACUGCUUUUAUAGAUCGCUGGUUGCCAACUUAAUUAUGUUUGCUGAUGUCUUUUUUGGGUUUUGUUUUUGUAGCUUCCUUCUAAAAAUAGCAGCAGCACCUCCUCAGAGGGUUCCUGAGGCAGCUGCUGGAGCACGGAGGAGACUGUAAUUCAGAUGCUAAAGCCACACAGGGAUGGCUGGGCUUUGUAAUUCCUGUGCUAUAAAGCAAAAGAAGCAAAAGUUGCAUCUGAAGAGCCCACAGAAAUUCAGAGGGUGAGGAUAUCCCACUUUUGCUGUGCUCCUCAUGAAAGGAAGCACCACUGUACCAGGGGAUGGCACUGAGGAUUCUGUUGGCACACACAGCACACCUAGCAGGUAUGCAGCUGUCCUGGGGGACCGCGGUCCUGGUGCUUACAGUGAGAUGCUUUCUCACCCUUUCUCUUUGCUUUUGCUUAGUUGCUGUGGAAUUACUUGCAACCCUUCCCUUGCUACAUCACACUAGCAGCUGCUGCUGUUUCAUGUUGUCACACUAUGUGUAUGUCACUAAAAGCAGCCCUGGGCCCCACUCAUGCUGCUUUACCCCAUCCUCUGUUCAGCCUGGUUACUGUGCUGGGGAUCCAGGCUGAGCUCUGCCUCCUGGAGAGAUCUCACUUGUGUCCUGCUGCUGGGUCUUGCCAGUGAGGGAGGGAAAGGGUCACACACCUGGAUUCGGGUGCUAUAUUUGGAUUUGCUGUUGGCAUCCCCCUUCCUCUGCCUUACCUGGUACCUUAUCUGUGUGAGGUUUCAGAAAUACAGCCACUGCUGGGUGAGGGGCACAGCUGGGACCUGCUCUGAAGCCCCUCAUGCAGGAUGGGUGCUCCAUUGCCAGCACUGCUGUGCUGGGAUGUGAUCUGGGCCAUGCUCAGGGCGCUGCUGUGUUGGGAGCCCAUGUGCGUGUAAAACAACACCCAGCCCCAAGCUGUGUUGUGUCAGUUCAUGUAACCUGACAGAUCUCCUCAAAUAAGAACCAUAUGGUAGAGAUAACAUCUUUGUUGCUUGCGGUUUCCUUGAUGGCAAACUACUGUGCUAUAAACCCCGAGUGUCCAGUUGAGUUAUAAACUCACCACAGAUGGAAACUGGAAAUGGAAUGGAGCGCUGGUUUGGAUCUGGCAGGGGCUGGGAGGGGUGCAGGCUGUCGCUCUCUCUGGAUGCAGCAGUGUGACCUGCCUGGGCUUCGAGCUGAUGUUUUGACCAGCAGUCCCUCAUGAAAUCAUUCUCCCCACCUUGCCUCCCCAAAGCCAUUUUUUGGCUAUGGAGCUGUGCCCUAUGCCCUCCUCAAACACGAGGUGCCGUUCCCCUUGGGAAAUGACAGCCUUUCCAGCACUCAGGAGCGAUGUGCUAGAAGGGGCAGCUGAGAGCUUGGAGCAGCCCCACGGUGCUUCUGCAGCUCUGGGGCAGUGUGUGAUCCUGCAGGGCUUAAAGUGACCCCCCAGCUACUGCCUGCUGCUCCAAAGCAGCCUCAGGUUGGGCAGCACUCUGCUUUGGGCAGUGCCCUGCAUGCACAGAGUGCUGCAUGAGUGUAUGCAUGCACACGCUGCUCACGUCUGCUUUGCAACACUUCCACCUACAGAAUAAAACCCAGAAUGGCAGCAGAGCAGCUGAUGGCCCUGGGAGCAGCUCAGCCUCAACGAGGAGUUUUGUUUUUUGU